UGUACAAAAACCUUUGGAGCAAAGACAACACAAUACUCCACAACGUCCACUAGAGGGCCACAUUAUCCAGUAGGAGGUGCACUACUCGUGCACUGUGUUCAACCAUUCAGUCAAUCACAAGUGCUGCUGUGAAGAGAACAAUUGUCAGACUGAAUGUUGAACAUCAGCUAGUUUCUCCUGUUGAUUUAAACCUUGUUGUAGAGAUGGAACAUUGGCUGUGGAUUAUUCUUGCUGCUCUUUUCUUUGAAAAAGAAGAAGUUCCCUCCUCCAGCUGGUCCAAAAUGCUGCUACCAGUCUGUUAACCAGGAGGAAGUGGAACUGAGAGAAGGUCAAAUCCAGAUCUAAGAGGAGACGGAGAGAUUCAGGGAGGAGCUAAGAUGUUACUGAACUAUAGAAGAGAGAGGAACUUCUAUAUUCAGCAGAGUUCAAUACACAAACCAUCAACAUUACCUUCAUUCAACAUGCUCUCAUUGGACUGUUAUGGACUUUCUCUACUGUUUGUCACUAUUCUAACAGGUGUCAGCUGUGAAGAACUCACUCCAGUCAAUAAUGAAGAGUCCAGUUUAGAAGACAGCCCUGUGACUCUGUCCUACACAUACUCUAAGACUAUAAGUCCUAGUGAUUAUUUCUUCUGGUAUCGACAAUAUCCA